GGUGGUGAGGUUUAUGUCCUCUCCUGAUGCAUGGGGGCGCCAUUUUGUCUACUUCUCUCAGCUCUUCGCCCCACACGGUCUCGAUUCUACAGCGCCCUGAGGUGGGGGGCGCCGGCGGGGAGGACCGGUAGCUGCUGCUGCUGCGGGGAGAUGUGCUGUGACGAAAAGACGAGUUAGCAGUUAUUUCUUGUUAAAUUACCUCACGAAGCCCCAAGCACUGGGAGUUACAGGUGACUUCUGUGGCGAGGGCAGUGCUGAAUGCUAUUGCUGAAACGGCUCGCAGGACUGCCUCAAGGAUCUGACAAGAGAAAUUGAGUAUGCUGCCAAGAUAUUAAAUGAAAUUCCCCAGAAAGACAUUCAGUGCACUAAAAGAGCCUCAAAGGCAGAAAGGGAAGGAAAUGGGCAAGAUCUGGGACAAUUACACUGACAAUGAUACCAGUCAGUUUGUCGAUUGGAGUGGCACUAUCUCUCCAUAUUCUGUUCUUCCUGGUCAUGGGAUCCUGUCAGAAGCCUUUGCACAGAGUGCACAGAGGGUGUGAAACUUGUAGCUGCAGUCCUACUCUGGAGUGGAACAGAGGAGCAUUAUUGGCAGACUUUGCCUGUUAUGAAGAUUGGUGGUGAAACAGGUUAUGGCUGUCCAGCAAUUACACUGGCACAUUGAUUCCGUAAGUCUGGAGUGUAUAUCAGUGUUUAAAACAGUGUUUCAGUGAAACAGAUUGGACUCAUCAGCAGAUGGGGAAUGCUGCCAUUCUUUAUUUCUGGCAAGGACCUGCGUGGCUGACAGACUCCUGCUAUGAUGGAAAGGGAUGGCUCAAUGAGGUUUAGGGAAGAACUAAUAAUACGUAAUUUACUUCUGUCACACUUGGAAUAUGGUAUGAUUUGAUCAUUUUAAAUGUAUUUUUUUAAUCUUAAAGGAACCUGCUUUAUUACCUACCUCCUGCUUUGACAUCUGUGUAGCAAAAUGUGAGCGUUUGGAAUAUGCAAACUAAAAUCAAAGCGUAGAAUUCCCUUUGAAGCUUAGUUUCUAGCCCUCCCCCCUCCCCACCUUUUAAUAUUCUGCCUGCUGUAAUUUUAUUUCUCUGAAAUUUUCAGUGUAAUUGAAAGAGUGUUGAAGGAACAAAGCAAAUAUUUACAUUGCACAAAUGCCACUUGAUGUGAUUAGUUAAAAGCAGUCUCUUUAAAAUUUAAUGUGUGUAUUAAACACGUGCAUGCACACACAGAGAAGCCAGUGGAAUAAAUUCUGAGUUUAGAGAACCUAGAAGCUUCCAGGCUCUGGAGCACAGUGUCUGGAAAAAUAUUUUGGGCAGUCUGAUCCUUAGGUUUUAAAGGAGAAAACCCAUCUCUAACUCACUUCAGGAUAGCAAAGCUAAAAGGCAUUUAGAGACCUCUAGCGCUGCCUUCUGAGUUGAUGUGUGUGGUCCUGUAAGGAACCUCCUCUUUAACCUU